rnacentral:lncRNA from 1 species
GUACCACACCAAGCAAAGCUCUCUGGGUGACACAGUUGCCACCACCAGGGCACUGACCCUUACUCUGUGUUCUCCUAGCUCCUCCUGAGGGUGCUGUAGGAGACAUCUGCAAAAAAGAAGAUGCUGGCAAUAUGCCAUCAACCUCAGAGGGGAGUAUUUACCUUGAAAUGGCUCACUUCCUGAGGAACAAACUUGCUGGAUCUAGUGUACGGAAACCUGAUUCUGGGUUCCUUUGGGAAGGAGCAUUACGGGCCUGAUAACCCUAAGGAAUAUCUUGGAUGUCUUCACGGGGCUUAUGACUUAUUCUGAGGUUUACAAAAUAGAGGCCCCCAGCUGAGCAAAGAGAGGGCUGCAGCGCCGAGGGAACAGCUGCCGGACUCACCGGAGAGGCCUCCUGGAGCACGCCGGGACCCCCUCCACCCCCUGGCUUUGG